rnacentral:rRNA from 1 species
GGGUUGUGAGGUUAAGCGACUAAGCGUACACGGUGGAUGCCCUGGCAGUCAGAGGCGAUGAAGGACGUGCUAAUCUGCGAUAAGCGUCGGUAAGGUGAUAUGAACCGUUAUAACCGGCGAUUUCCGAAUGGGGAAACCCAGUGUGAUUCGUCACACUAUCAUUAACUGAAUCCAUAGGUUAAUGAGGCGAACCGGGGGAACUGAAACAUCUAAGUACCCCGAGGAAAAGAAAUCAACCGAGAUUCCCCCAGUAGCGGCGAGCGAACGGGGAGCAGCCCAGAGCCUGAAUCAGUGUGUGUGUUAGUGGAAGCGUCUGGAAAGGCGCGCGAUACAGGGUGACAGCCCCGUACACAAAAAUGCACAUACUGUGAGCUCGAUGAGUAGGGCGGGACACGUGGUAUCCUGUCUGAAUAUGGGGGGACCAUCCUCCAAGGCUAAAUACUCCUGACUGACCGAUAGUGAACCAGUACCGUGAGGGAAAGGCGAAAAGAACCCCGGCGAGGGGAGUGAAAAAGAACCUGAAACCGUGUACGUACAAGCAGUGGGAGCACGCUUAGGCGUGUGACUGCGUACCUUUUGUAUAAUGGGUCAGCGACUUAUAUUCUGUAGCAAGGUUAACCGAAUAGGGGAGCCGAAGGGAAACCGAGUCUUAACUGGGCGUUAAGUUGCAGGGUAUAGACCCGAAACCCGGUGAUCUAGCCAUGGGCAGGUUGAAGGUUGGGUAACACUAACUGGAGGACCGAACCGACUAAUGUUGAAAAAUUAGCGGAUGACUUGUGGCUGGGGGUGAAAGGCCAAUCAAACCGGGAGAUAGCUGGUUCUCCCCGAAAGCUAUUUAGGUAGCGCCUCGUGAAUUCAUCUCCGGGGGUAGAGCACUGUUUCGGCAAGGGGGUCAUCCCGACUUACCAACCCGAUGCAAACUGCGAAUACCGGAGAAUGUUAUCACGGGAGACACACGGCGGGUGCUAACGUCCGUCGUGAAGAGGGAAACAACCCAGACCGCCAGCUAAGGUCCCAAAGUCAUGGUUAAGUGGGAAACGAUGUGGGAAGGCCCAGACAGCCAGGAUGUUGGCUUAGAAGCAGCCAUCAUUUAAAGAAAGCGUAAUAGCUCACUGGUCGAGUCGGCCUGCGCGGAAGAUGUAACGGGGCUAAACCAUGCACCGAAGCUGCGGCAGCGACGCUUAUGCGUUGUUGGGUAGGGGAGCGUUCUGUAAGCCUGUGAAGGUGUACUGUGAGGUAUGCUGGAGGUAUCAGAAGUGCGAAUGCUGACAUAAGUAACGAUAAAGCGGGUGAAAAGCCCGCUCGCCGGAAGACCAAGGGUUCCUGUCCAACGUUAAUCGGGGCAGGGUGAGUCGACCCCUAAGGCGAGGCCGAAAGGCGUAGUCGAUGGGAAACAGGUUAAUAUUCCUGUACUUGGUGUUACUGCGAAGGGGGGACGGAGAAGGCUAUGUUGGCCGGGCGACGGUUGUCCCGGUUUAAGCGUGUAGGCUGGUUUUCCAGGCAAAUCCGGAAAACUAAGGCUGAGGCGUGAUGACGAGGCACUACGGUGCUGAAGCAACAAAUGCCCUGCUUCCAGGAAAAGCCUCUAAGCAUCAGGUAACAUCAAAUCGUACCCCAAACCGACACAGGUGGUCAGGUAGAGAAUACCAAGGCGCUUGAGAGAACUCGGGUGAAGGAACUAGGCAAAAUGGUGCCGUAACUUCGGGAGAAGGCACGCUGAUAUGUAGGUGAAGUCCCUCGCGGAUGGAGCUGAAAUCAGUCGAAGAUACCAGCUGGCUGCAACUGUUUAUUAAAAACACAGCACUGUGCAAACACGAAAGUGGACGUAUACGGUGUGACGCCUGCCCGGUGCCGGAAGGUUAAUUGAUGGGGUCAGCGCAAGCGAAGCUCUUGAUCGAAGCCCCGGUAAACGGCGGCCGUAACUAUAACGGUCCUAAGGUAGCGAAAUUCCUUGUCGGGUAAGUUCCGACCUGCACGAAUGGCGUAAUGAUGGCCAGGCUGUCUCCACCCGAGACUCAGUGAAAUUGAACUCGCUGUGAAGAUGCAGUGUACCCGCGGCAAGACGGAAAGACCCCGUGAACCUUUACUAUAGCUUGACACUGAACAUUGAGCCUUGAUGUGUAGGAUAGGUGGGAGGCUUUGAAGUGUGGACGCCAGUCUGCAUGGAGCCGACCUUGAAAUACCACCCUUUAAUGUUUGAUGUUCUAACGUUGACCCGUAAUCCGGGUUGCGGACAGUGUCUGGUGGGUAGUUUGACUGGGGCGGUCUCCUCCUAAAGAGUAACGGAGGAGCACGAAGGUUGGCUAAUCCUGGUCGGACAUCAGGAGGUUAGUGCAAUGGCAUAAGCCAGCUUGACUGCGAGCGUGACGGCGCGAGCAGGUGCGAAAGCAGGUCAUAGUGAUCCGGUGGUUCUGAAUGGAAGGGCCAUCGCUCAACGGAUAAAAGGUACUCCGGGGAUAACAGGCUGAUACCGCCCAAGAGUUCAUAUCGACGGCGGUGUUUGGCACCUCGAUGUCGGCUCAUCACAUCCUGGGGCUGAAGUAGGUCCCAAGGGUAUGGCUGUUCGCCAUUUAAAGUGGUACGCGAGCUGGGUUUAGAACGUCGUGAGACAGUUCGGUCCCUAUCUGCCGUGGGCGCUGGAGAACUGAGGGGGGCUGCUCCUAGUACGAGAGGACCGGAGUGGACGCAUCACUGGUGUUCGGGUUGUCAUGCCAAUGGCACUGCCCGGUAGCUAAAUGCGGAAGAGAUAAGUGCUGAAAGCAUCUAAGCACGAAACUUGCCCCGAGAUGAGUUCUCCCUGACUCCUUGAGAGUCCUGAAGGAACGUUGAAGACGACGACGUUGAUAGGCCGGGUGUGUAAGCGCAGCGAUGCGUUGAGCUAACCGGUACUAAUGAACCGUGAGGCUUAACCUUACAACGCCGAAGGUGUUU